UACACUCCUGCGGGAGGCAGCAGUGAGGAAUAUUGGACAAUGGGUGGAAGCCUGAUCCAGCCAUCCCGCGUGCAGGAAGACGGCCCUAUGGGUUGUAAACUGCUUUUAUCUGGGGAUAAACCUACUUACGUGUAAGUAGCUGAAGGUACCAGAAGAAUAAGCACCGGCUAACUCCGUGCCAGCAGCCGCGGUAAUACGGAGGGUGCAAGCGUUAUCCGGAUUUAUUGGGUUUAAAGGGUCCGUAGGCGGACUGAUAAGUCAGUGGUGAAAUCCGACAGCUUAACUGUCGAACUGCCAUUGAUACUGUUAGUCUUGAGUAAGGUUGAAGUGGCUGGAAUAAGUAGUGUAGCGGUGAAAUGCAUAGAUAUUACUUAGAACACCAAUUGCGAAGGCAGGUCACUAAGUCUUAACUGACGCUGAUGGACGAAAGCGUGGGGAGCGAACAGGAUUAGAAACCCUUGUAGUCCCAUG
rnacentral:rRNA from 1 species